AGAGUUUGAUCCUGGCUCAGAACGAACGCUGGCGGCAGGCCUAACACAUGCAAGUCGAGCGCCCGCAAGGGAGCUGCAGACGGGUGAGUAACGCGUGGGAACGUGCCCUUUGGUUCGGAAUAUUCCCGGGAAACUGGGAGCAAAACCGGAUAAGCCCUUCGGGGGAAAGUUUACGCCAAAGGAUCGGCCCGCGUUAGAUUAGGUAGUUGGUGGGGUAACGGCCUACCAAGCCUACGAUCUAUAGCUGAUCUGAGAGGAUGAUCAGCCACACUGGGACUGAGACACGGCCCAGACUCCUACGGGAGGCAGCAGUGGGGAAUCUUGGACAAUGGGCGCAAGCCUGAUCCAGCCAUGCCGCGUGGAUGACUGAAGGCCCUAGGGUUGUAAAGUCCUUUCGACGGGGACGAUAAUGACGGUACCCGUAGAAGAAGCCCCGGCUAACUUCGUGCCAGCAGCCGCGGUAAUACGAAGGGGGCUAGCGUUGUUCGGAUUUACUGGGCGUAAAGGGCGCGUAGGCGGAUUUUUAAGUCGGGGGUGAAAUCCCGGAGCUCAACUCCGGAACUGCCUUCGAUACUGGAAGUCUGGAGCACGGUAGAGGUGAGUGGAAUUCCGAGUGUAGCGGUGAAAUGCGUAGA
rnacentral:rRNA from 1 species